CCCUUAGAUGUCCUGGGCCGCACGCGCGUUACACUGAUGCAUUCAACGAGCUUAUAACCUUGGCCGAGAGGCCUGGGCAAUCUUGUUAACGUGCAUCGUGAUAGGGAUAGAUUAUUGAAAUUAUUAAUCUUGAACGAGGAAUUCCUAGUAAACGCAUAUCAUCAAUCUGCAUUGAUUACGUCCCUGCCCUUUGUACACACCGCCCGUCGCACCUACCGAUUGGAUGGUCCGGUGAAGCCUCGGGAUUGUGGUUCUUGCCGCUUUGUUGUGGCGUGACCGCGAGAACUUGUCUAAACCUUAUCAUCUAGAGGAAGGUGAAGUCGUAACA
rnacentral:rRNA from 1 species